rnacentral:rRNA from 1 species
UGGGGAAUUUUUGGACAAUGGGGCGAAAGCCUNAUCCAGCAAUGCCGCGUGUGUGAAGAAGGCCUUCGGGUUGUAAAGCACUUUUGUCCGGAAAGAAAUCCUUGGCUCUAAUACAGUCGGGGGAUGACGGUACCGGAAGAAUAAGCACCGGCUAACUACGUGCCAGCAGCCGCGGUAAUACGUAGGGUGCAAGCGUUAAUCGGAAUUACUGGGCGUAAAGCGUGCGCAGGCGGUUUGCUAAGACCGAUGUGAAAUCCCCGGGCUCAACCUGGGAACUGCAUUGGUGACUGGCAGGCUAGAGUAUGGCAGAGGGGGGUAGAAUUCCACGUGUAGCAGUGAAAUGCGUAGAGAUGUGGAGGAAUACCGAUGGCGAAGGCAGCCCCCUGGGCCAAUACUGACGCUCAUGCACG